rnacentral:piRNA from 1 species
UAAGGCAUUGGACUUAAGGCCACGGG